rnacentral:rRNA from 1 species
AUUGAACGCUGGCGGCAGGCCUAACACAUGCAAGUCGAACGGUAGCACAGAGGAGCUUGCUCCUGGGUGACGAGUGGCGGACGGGUGAGUAAUGUCUGGGAAACUGCCCGAUGGAGGGGGAUAACUACUGGAAACGGUAGCUAAUACCGCAUAACGUCGCAAGACCAAAGAGGGGGACCUUCGGGCCUCUUGCCAUCGGAUGUGCCCAGAUGGGAUUAGCUAGUAGGUGGGGUAACGGCUCACCUAGGCGACGAUCCCUAGCUGGUCUGAGAGGAUGACCAGCCACACUGGAACUGAGACACGGUCCAGACUCCUACGGGAGGCAGCAGUGGGGAAUAUUGCACAAUGGGCGCAAGCCUGAUGCAGCCAUGCCGCGUGUAUGAAGAAGGCCUUCGGGUUGUAAAGUACUUUCAGCGAGGAGGAAGGCGUUGUGGUUAAUAACCGCAGCGAUUGACGUUACUCGCAGAAGAAGCACCGGCUAACUCCGUGCCAGCCGCAGC